CACGUACGUUGGACAAAGCCCGUCGCAAGGCGUGGCUCGUUCGGCUCGUGCUAGCUUUGGGUAAUGGCCCUGCACUUCACGGUGUGGGAUCACCGUUCCCAAUCGUUUAUUUUGAAAAAAUUAGAGUGUUCAAAGCAGGCGUAAGCCAUUGAAUAUUACAGCAUGAGAUAAUAGAAUAUGACAUUGGUCUUAUUUUGUUGGUUUCUAAGGCUGAUGUA
rnacentral:rRNA from 1 species